UGUUUGGACAUUACAAUGGAGGCUGGUUAUAGCAGCCCGGAGUGUUUAUUGUUGGCUGUGAAUUAAUCUGCUGUUCUAAUGUGACAUGUUCAGUAAAAUGACAUGGAUCACUGGCUGGUUCAAGGUCCCUGCUAGAACAAUAUGAGGGUAUGUUUGGUUACAGUUUUAUCCAUGUCUUGCCAAUGAGUUUCAGCUUUGGACAAGUUCACUCUUGAUUCGGAUUCAAUGCAACUUAAUUGUACUGUACAAAGUGGGGAAGCAUGAAGCAGUUCACCUAGUGUGACCGGAAGAAAUGGCAGCAGGCGCUAAGGACCAUUGAUGGAAAUGGGAUUGAUGGUGAUAAACAAGGCCUUUUCUAUGUGACCACAAUGUCAUCACCAUACCUAACAAAGUUACAAAAAGUCUUUAAUAUUGUCUAAUAUACAGCCCUUAACAGUUUUUUUUCUCGUUUUUUCACAAAUAGCUUUAUUUAGAUUAUAUUUUUUUGUAUUAGUUUCCAAAUAAGUUCCACACAUUCUAUUUGGCUGUAGUACCACUAAAGUCUGAUAAUUAAACUAUAUCUCUCAAGUCUGGUAAU